AGACACAGGCGAGGGGAGGAAGAAGGCUCCUCGGGCUCCGGUCUCCUGCGCUCCUGCUGGGCGCCCGCGGCUGGACCUUGGCAGCCGUCUGAGGCUUCAGGGAGCCCAAGGCCACCGGCAGCGCUUGUUAGAAUGCACAUUCCCGGGGUUCGACUGGAAUGAGACCCCGGGGAGCAGCGUUUGCAGCGGGCCCGCCAGGUGACCUGCACCUGGGCACUGCCAUCGGCUUCGCAGGGGCCAUCUGGAGGAGUCGGUCACCCGCCAUGUCGACCUUGCUGGACAUUAAGAGCAGCGUGCUCAGGCAGGUGCAGGUGUGCCCGUCCUUCCGCCGCAGGACUGAGCAGGACCCAGGGAGUGCUAGCGCCGACCCGCAGGAGCCUGCCACGGGGGCCUGGAAACCCGGGGAUGGCGUGGAGUUCUUUGCCCACAUGCGCCUCAUGCUGAAGAAGGGGGAAGGCAGACAGGGCUUGCCGUGCCUCGAGGCCUGGGGCUCUCCCUGCCGUCAGAGGCCUCACCCUGGGCCCCACACACAGGUCCCCCUGCGCAGUGGCUCGCCAGCACCCCUGGAGCCUGUGGAUCCCAGCCGCGGCCUGAGAGCCCUGGCCCCAGAGGAGGUGGAGAUGCUCUAUGAGGAGGCCCUGUACACGGUGCUUUACCGCGCGGGUACCAUGGGCCCUGACCAGGUGGACGACGAGGAGGCCCUGCUCAGCUAUCUCCAGCAGGUGUUUGGCACCAGCCCUGAGGAGCACACCGAGGCCAUCGAGCGAGUGAGGAAGGCCAAGGCCCCCACGUAUGCCCUGAAAGUCUCUGUCAUGCGUGCCAAGAACCUUCUGGCCAAGGACCCCAACGGCUUCAGCGACCCGUACUGCAUGCUGGGCAUCCUGCCUGCCUCGGACGCCACGCGGGAGCCCCGUGCGCAGAAGGAGCAGCGCUUCGGCUUCCGCAAGGGCAGCAAGCGCGGCGGACCCCUGCCCGCGAAGUGCAUCCAGGUCACCGAGGUGAAGAGCAGCACCCUGAACCCCGUCUGGAAGGAGCACUUCCUCUUCGAGAUUGAGGACGUGAGCACGGACCAGCUGCACCUGGACAUCUGGGAUCAUGAUGACGAUGUAUCCCUGGUAGAAGCGUGCAGGAAGCUGAAUGAAGUCAUCGGCCUGAAGGGCAUGGGCAGGUACUUCAAACAGAUCGUCAAGUCAGCCCGCGCAAACGGGACAGCAGGACCCACCGAGGACCACACCGAUGACUUCCUGGGGUGCCUCAACAUACCUGUCCGGGUGAGUGGGUGUGGGGUGGGGCUGGUGACACUUAGAGAAGGGCCUGGGGAGUGUCCCAGCCUUCAAGGGGCAGGGCACUGCCUGGAGAAGCUCCUGCUUUUGGGCCUCCACUGAGUGCGCUUGUCACCCUCGUUCCCC
rnacentral:sRNA from 1 species